UACGUAGGGGGCAAGCGUUAUCCGGAUUUACUGGGUGUAAAGGGUGCGUAGGCGGUGUAGCAAGUUAGAAGUGAAAUACCUAGAGCUUAACUCAGGUGCUGCUUCUAAAACUGCUAUACUUGAGUGCAGUAGAGGAAAGUGGAAUUCCUAGUGUAGCGGUGGAAUGCGUAGAUAUUAGGAGGAACAUCAGUGGCGAAGGCGACUUUCUGGACUGUAACUGACGCUGAGGCACGAAAGUGUGGGGAGCAAACAGG
rnacentral:rRNA from 1 species